rnacentral:rRNA from 1 species
GAUGAACGCUGGCGGCGUGCCUAAUACAUGCAAGUCGAGCGAACAGAUGAGAAGCUUGCUUCUCUGAUGUUAGCGGCGGACGGGUGAGUAACACGUGGGUAACCUACCUAUAAGACUGGGAUAACUCCGGGAAACCGGGGCUAAUACCGGAUAAUAUUUUGAACCGCAUGGUUCAAUAGUGAAAGACGGUUUCGGCUGUCAAUUAUAGAUGGACCCGCGCCGUAUUAGCUAGUUGGUAAGGUAACGGCUUACCAAGGCGACGAUACGUAGCCGACCUGAGAGGGUGAUCGGCCACACUGGUACUGAGACACGGUCCAGACUCCUACGGGAGGCAGCAGUAGGGAAUCUUCCGCAAUGGGCGAAAGCCUGACGGAGCAACGCCGCGUGAGUGAUGAAGGUCUUCGGAUCGUAAAACUCUGUUGUUAGGGAAGAACAAAUUUGUUAGUAACUGAACAAGUCUUGACGGUACCUAACCAGAAAGCCACGGCUAACUACGUGCCAGCAGCCGCAGUAA